rnacentral:rRNA from 1 species
UACGUAGGGCGCAAGCGUUGUCCGGAAUUAUUGGGCGUAAAGAGCUCGUAGGCGGUCUGUUACGUCCGCUGUGAAAACCCAGGGCUUAACCCUGGGCUUGCAGUGGAUACGGGCAGGCUGGAGGCAGGUAGGGGAGAACGGAAUUCCCGGUGUAGCGGUGAAAUGCGUAGAUAUCUGGAGGAACACCGGUGGCGAAGGCGGCAUCCUGGACCAACACUGACGCUGAGGAGCGAAAGCGUGGGGAGCAAACAGG